rnacentral:rRNA from 1 species
GUUGUAUGGUCAAGUAAUGAAGUGCACAUGGUGGAUGCCUUGGCAGUCAGAGGCGAUGAAAGACGUGAUAGCCUGCGAUAAGCGUCGGUGAGGUGGCAAUAUCCUGUGACCCGGCGAUUUCUGAAUGGGGAAACCCACCUAAGAUAACUUAGGUAUCAUAAUUUAUUUUAUGAGGCGAACCGGGAGAAGUGAAACAUCUCAGUACCCCGAGGAAAAGACAUCAAUUGAGAUUCCCCAAGUAGCGGCGAGCGAACGGGGAGUAGCCGAUUAGAUUUGUAGUAGCAAAAUGGCGUGGGAAAGCCAACCAUAGUAGGUGAUAGUCCUGUAUGCGAAACUGCAAUUUUAACAUAUUAAGUAGGGCGGAACACGAGAAAUUCUGUCUGAAGAUGGGGGGACCAUCCUCCAAGGCUAAAUACUCCUGACUGACCGAUAGUGAACCAGUACCGUGAGGGAAAGGCGAAAAGAACCCCUGUUAGGGGAGUGAAAUAGAACCUGAAACCGUGUGCAUACAAGCAGUCGGAGCGGACUUGUUCCGUGACGGCGUACCUUUUGUAUAAUGGGUCAGCGACUUAUAUUCUGUAGCAAGCUUAACCGUGUAGGGGAGGCGUAGGGAAACCGAGUCUUAAUAGGGCGUUUUAGUUGCAGGGUAUAGACCCGAAACCGAGUGAUCUAUCCAUGAGCAGGUUGAAAGUGCCGUAACAGGCACCGGAGGACCGAACCCACUCCCGUUGAAAAGGUAGGGGAUGACUUGUGGAUAGGGGUGAAAGGCUAAUCAAACUCGGUGAUAGCUGGUUCUCCCCGAAAGCUAUUUAGGUAGCGCCUCGGACGAAUACCUUGGGGGGUAGAGCACUGUUUCGGCUAGGGGGUCAUCCCGACUUACCAAACCGAUGCAAACUCCGAAUACCCAAGAGUACUAUCCGGGAGACAGACGGCGGGUGCUAACGUCCGUCGUCAAGAGGGAAACAACCCAGACCGCCAGCUAAGGCCCCAAAUUCCUAGUUAAGUGGGAAACGAUGUGGGAAGGCACAGACAGCUAGGAGGUUGGCUUAGAAGCAGCCACCCUUUAAAGAAAGCGUAAUAGCUCACUAGUCGAGUCGGCCUGCGCGGAAGAUGUAACGGGGCUCAAACUAGGAGCCGAAGCUGCGGAUUUAAUUGUUUCAAUUAAGUGGUAGGGGAGCGUUGUGUAAGCCUGUGAAGGUGUAUCGUAAGGUAUGCUGGAGGUAUCACAAGAGCGAAUGCUGACGUGAGUAACGACAAAACGGGUGAAAAGCCCGUUCGCCGGAAGACCAAGGGUUCCAGUCCAACGUUAAUCGGGGCUGGGUGAGUCGACCCCUAAGGCGAGGCCGAAAGGCGUAGUCGAUGGGAAAUCGGUUAAUAUUCCGAUACUUGUUUAUGAUGCGAUGGAGGGACGGAGAAGGUUAUGUCAGCCUGGCGUUGGUUGUCCAGGUGGAAGGAUGUAGGUAGGUUUAGUAGGCAAAUCCGCUAGACUAUUACUGAGAUCUGAUAGCAAGCCAGUUUACUGGCGAAGUGGCAAAUACCCUGCUUCCAGGAAAAGCUUCUAAGCGAUAGUCAUAAACAAAUCGUACCCGAAACCGACACAGGUGGUCAGGUAGAGAAUACCAAGGCGCUUGAGAGAACUCUGCUGAAGGAACUAGGCAAAAUGGUACCGUAACUUCGGGAGAAGGUACGCUGCUGAUGGUGAUAAGACUUGCUCUUUGAGCUGUUGGCAGUCGCAGAUACCAGGCUGCUGCAACUGUUUAUUAAAAACACAGCACUCUGCAAACACGAAAGUGGACGUAUAGGGUGUGAUGCCUGCCCGGUGCUGGAAGGUUAAUUGAUGGGGUUAGCGUAUGCGAAGCUCUUGAUCGAAGCCCCAGUAAACGGCGGCCGUAACUAUAACGGUCCUAAGGUAGCGAAAUUCCUUGUCGGGUAAGUUCCGACCUGCACGAAUGGCAUAAUGAUGGCAGCGCUGUCUCCAGCAGAGACUCAGUGAAAUCGAAAUCGCAGUGAAGAUGCUGUGUACCCGCGGCUAGACGGAAAGACCCCGUGAACCUUUACUACAGCUUUACAUUGAACUUUGACCUAACUUGUGUAGGAUAGGUGGGAGGCUUUGAAGUGGCGACGCCAGUUGCCAUGGAGCCAACCUUGAAAUACCACCCUGGUUAUGUUGGGGUUCUAACUUAGAUAUAACAGUAUCAAGGACAAUGUAUGGUGGGUAGUUUGACUGGGGCGGUCUCCUCCUAAAGAGUAACGGAGGAGUACGAAGGUGCGCUCAGAACGGUCGGAAAUCGUUCAAAGAGUAUAAAGGCAAAAGCGCGCUUAACUGCGAGACCCACAAGUCGAGCAGGUACGAAAGUAGGUCUUAGUGAUCCGGUGGUUCUGUAUGGAAGGGCCAUCGCUCAACGGAUAAAAGGUACUCUGGGGAUAACAGGCUGAUACCGCCCAAGAGUUCAUAUCGACGGCGGUGUUUGGCACCUCGAUGUCGGCUCAUCUCAUCCUGGGGCUGAAGCAGGUCCCAAGGGUAUGGCUGUUCGCCAUUUAAAGAGGUACGCGAGCUGGGUUUAGAACGUCGUGAGACAGUUCGGUCCCUAUCUACCGUGGGCGUUGGAAAUUUGAGAGGAUCUGCUCCUAGUACGAGAGGACCAGAGUGGACGAACCUCUGGUGUUCCGGUUGUUACGCCAGUAGCACUGCCGGGUAGCUAUGUUCGGAUGGGAUAACCGCUGAAAGCAUCUAAGCGGGAAGCCCACCUCAAGAUAAGAUUUCCCUAAAGAGCCGUUGUAGACUACGACGUUGAUAGGUUGGGUGUGGAAGUGUAGUGAUACAUGUAGCUAACCAAUACUAAUUGCUCGUUUGGCUUGACCAUACAACACCCAAG